rnacentral:tRNA from 1 species
GGAGAGAUGGCUGAGUGGACGAAAGCGGCAGAUUGCUAAUCCGUUGUACGUUUUGCGUACCGAGGGUUCGAAUCCCUCUCUCUCCG